AGUGAACGCUGGCGGUAGGCCUAACACAUGCAAGUCGAACGGCAGCACAGUAAGAGCUUGCUCUUACGGGUGGCGAGUGGCGGACGGGUGAGGAAUACAUCGGAAUCUACUUUUUCGUGGGGGAUAACGUAGGGAAACUUACGCUAAUACCGCAUACGACCUACGGGUGAAAGCAGGGGAUCUUCGGACCUUGCGCGAUUGAAUGAGCCGAUGUCGGAUUAGCUAGUUGGCGGGGUAAAGGCCCACCAAGGCGACGAUCCGUAGCUGGUCUGAGAGGAUGAUCAGCGACACUGGAACUGAGACACGGUCCAGACUCCUACGGGAGGCAGCAGUGGGGAAUAUUGGACAAUAGGCGCAAGCCUGAUCCAGCCAUACCGCGUGAGUGAAGAAGACCUUCGGGUUGUAAAGCCCUUUUGUUGGGAAAGAAAAGCAGCAGGUUAAUACCCCGCUGUUCUGACGGUACCCAAAGAAUAAGCACCGGCUAACUUCGUG
rnacentral:rRNA from 1 species